CCGCAACAAGGCUGACCUCACACAGUAUGAGACAUGAGCCUGGCCUGGUUACCAGGACCACAGGUGUGGCAACACCCUCAGCCAGGGACACUUUUCACUCGAGGGACUUUUUUGUUUCAUAACCGAGAGGCAGGGUCGGAAUGGCAUCCGCUGCUGGAGAGAGGGAGGCACACACCACCCUGCCCUGCGCUGACGAAGAGCUACCUGGGCCUCGAGGCCAUCAGUCUGUUGCUGAGCUGGAAAACCUGGCUGGAGAGGCUUGGGACAUCUGCCAGAUGCCCGCAGAGCUGGGAGGAGUUGGCAUUGGGCAGCAUCCAGCCCCAGAAAGGGAUGGACUGAGCCAGGCAGAUUCAGAACGGAGGCUCCGCCAGGCGCCACACCUGGAGUACAGAUGGCCGUGCUGAGCAAUGGUUCCCGGUUUCUCUCUCCCCAUCACCACCACCAAGCCACCUACUGGAAAUUAAUCCAGUGAAUAAUGAUGCAUUGAGAUCACUAAAAUUGUG
rnacentral:lncRNA from 1 species